rnacentral:rRNA from 1 species
AACGAACGCUGGCGGCAGGCCUAACACAUGCAAGUCGAACGAAGUCUUCGGACUUAGUGGCGGACGGGUGAGUAACACGUGGGAACGUGCCUUUAGGUUCGGAAUAACUCGGGGAAACUUGUGCUAAUACCGAAUGUGCCCUUCGGGGGAAAGAUUUAUCGCCUUUAGAGCGGCCCGCGUCUGAUUAGCUAGUUGGUGAGGUAAAGGCUCACCAAGGCUACGAUCAGUAGCUGGUCUGAGAGGAUGACCAGCCACAUUGGGACUGAGACACGGCCCAAACUCCUACGGGAGGCAGCAGUGGGGAAUCUUGCGCAAUGGGCGAAAGCCUGACGCAGCCAUGCCGCGUGGAUGAUGAAGGUCUUAGGAUUGUAAAAUCCUUUCACCGGUGAAGAUAAUGACUGUAGCCGGAGAAGAAGCCCCGGCUAACUUCGUGCCAGCCGCCGCGGUAACAC